AAGAAUUUAGUUUAUUUGAAAAUAUUAGAUUGUAAAUCUAAAGUAGAGAUUCUUG
rnacentral:tRNA from 1 species